rnacentral:rRNA from 11 species
AAUUGUAGUAAAGUGACCUAAAUAUCCUAGAUCCUGUGUGAUUUUGGAAACUAAGCAAGGGUGGCCUUGGUUAGUGCUUGGAUGGGAGCCUUCCAAAGAAUACCAGGUGCUAUAGAUU